CCCCGCUUAUUGGAGGGUGGUUACUGGAUUUAGCUGGCGUGGGCUCCUUUUCGUCCGUGCUCUCUGGUUAAAUCCAGUGCCAUCGCGCUUCUUGUGAGUCCCAGCGAGAGAAUGCGAAGGGGAGAGGCAGGACCAAAGUUGAGGCGAAUCCAGUGGCAUGCCGAUGGGUCUCCAGGUAUGUGACCUCAGAGGAGCUUGAAUGAGAAUGUAAUACCAAGAUAAGUCGACUUUCAAUUCAACUGACUCUUUCCUGCAAGAUCCUUUGCCGCAAUGGGGGAUAAGAAGGGAAUAAGGUAAGAAGGUCCUCAGGGUUUGGGGGUAAGCGCACGGUCUAGUUUGGACUCAUCAAUAGCAGUGCUAGGAGGGGCAGGAGAGAGGGCCAAUGAAAUGGUUUUGGUUGGGGUGUGGGGCAUCCUGGAUAGCUUUCAGGGUGAGAAGAUCUUAGAACGAUGUCUUCGUUAAGCUCUUUAUGUUUACAGUAUAAGAUUUAAGUUUUCAUAGAGGAAACAAAAUGGGGCCAAGGUAGGACAUAGUUUUUAUUUUGUAUCUUUGAAGAGGUCCUUAGUAUAUAUUAUGUGGCAUCUUUCGUGCUUAACUGUAGAGGCCUAUUUUAGGAAACAGAAAUGUUCCUAACUUUUUUGUUUCUAUCUCCAGCUGGCAAGAAUGAGUCAGACAUUUCCAAGCAAGAUUGUUUUUUUUUUCCCUUUUUGUUUGCUUUAUCCAGACUCUAGCCAAAAAGAUUCAUCUCGAGGAAUUAUAUUCUUGGAGAUGUUGGGAAAAGAUUCCUGGGUCUUGGAAGAUAAUUACUAGAAAUAUGCAGGGGAGGAAUAAAAUUGAAGGGUGUUUUUCUUAGAGAACACCAUUUGUCCUAUUUAUCAGGAAUUCGAAGAUUUAUAUAAGGGAUAAACCCAUGUGAGAUUUUGCAAAAAUAGAAAAUCAGAAGACGGAAUUGGUCAACAAAUAUGACAGAAUAGCAAAGAAAUGAAAAGUGAUAAUACUGGAAGUGAAAUUAGAUGUGGUUAGAUUUGAAAAUGGCCACAGCAAAGCAAAGAUAGGAUGAGACCUAGGCCUACAUGAAGCUACAGUACAAGCCACAUUUUAAAAGUCUGAUGAAUACAAAAACAAUGUAAAGUUGCUUCAACAUCUUUUCGUUUAAAUUGUACUAGGAACAGAAAGCCGCUGAUGGUUGAAAUGGAGCAUUUACUUCUUUGGAUUGAGGACUGUAAUCAAAAACAAAUCCCAGUCAGUUUGGCAUUGAAGUUAGUUGCUGCAUUGAAGGAAAAUGGUAAUUACAAGGACAUCUAUUUACUGCCAGUGAAGGCUGGUUUCAUUGUUUCAGAAGUCAACAUGAAUUGAUUAAUGUUAAGCUACCUGGUGAAGCUACAAGCUCAGAUAAGGAUGCUACUGUGAAAUUUGCACUCAAGAUUCCAAGAAUUACAGGCAGUCUUGCUUUGCACAGUAGUGAGAGACUGUACUAUGCAAAAAACUGCAGGAUUUGGAUGGGAUGUAAAUGGAGUUAGAAGAUAAAGAUGAUCCUGGGAAUGUUGACACUGGUGCCAUUCAAGAAAUAGUUCUAGAUAUGCAGGAGGCAGAACGUAGUGAAGGCAAAUAUAAAGUUUUACGUGAGUAAAGCAGUUGUAAAGGAUGAACGUGUCUCAGAAGUCAUGCUGUUGAAAAACUUCACAUUGAAGGAACUUUCAGAGAUGUUUCAUGACAUUGACGGCACAAAGGAUAAAAUUUUGGAAGCUGAUUCAAGCUUAGAAAGGAGUAUGACAGUUUGCCAAGGCAGAGAUAAGAUGCACACUCCAUGUUAUAAGUCAUAUAAUGUGAAGAAAGCAAGCACUUUUCAAACUACUUGAUACAUUUUUUAUAAAGAAAUAAAACAUUAUAAUUUUCA